UCCUCACUUAGCUUAAUUGCAGUUGCAUGUGGCUGCCCUCCAACUAACAGGUAAUGCAGUUGCUGGAAGGUGAAUGGAAGUUUUAGCAAUGUCCUUCCGAGCCAAGAAUUGGAUGUGACCAACCGUGCAAGCAGCGACCUUUUUGAAUGCAAAGCAACCCAGAACUCCCCUCUGGAGUUUCUUCUAAUGUUGUCUGGAUAUCCUGGUAGAUCAGCAAAUGUAGCAUGUUUUCCUGCAUCAGGGCCUUUAAGCCAAUACUUUACUAUUCUACCAGUAGAAGUUUCAGCCACCAGUACAAAGGACUUGUCUUUGCUCAAGGCUACACCAUUGGCGAACGCAAGGCCUCGUAGUAAAACUGUCACUGCUUUGGUUGAUUUGUCGUAUUUCAUCAGCCGGCCAGUCUUGUCUCCAAUUACGACAGAUGCAAUAAAUUGCCUAAAUAAAACAUGAAAAAUUGGAAUCAGUCUCUGAACGGAUCUCUCUACCUUAUGAAGUAGAGGAGGUGAGGGCUUUCACAGUUCACGUUUGCAGGCUAUCAUCUGAAAAGCUCAAUCAUCACAAGUGCGAUGGUAGAUAAGCUGCUCAUUACAGAAAGAAUACAACUUGACCAUAAGAAUGUCAGUUUGACACAGUGCCAGCUUCCUACUAAGGCUACUACAUGCAGCAUAUCACUUAGAAGCUAAUAAUGGAAACUGACUUCUCUGCUUUGCUGUGUUAUCAACGACAACUUACAUGCGAUCUAAUCUAGAUAUAUACUAAACUAUAACACUCAAUUUGCUUCGCAUGAAUAGAUUCACAUUUCAGAUUAUUCCAUUGGCAAUAAAUUACCUCCUUUGGAAUUGUGUGCUGGUAUCUGUGAAGUAAAUGAUAUCUUCUUGCUCAUCAAGGUCCAUGUCAUUUGUGAAGCGCAGAGGCUGGCCUUCAACUUCUGUGACAAGUGGGGUAGCUAAUCCUCCAGAUGGCCCCACAACUUGAAGUCCUAAGUAGGCAUCAGCAAUGUAGAGGUCCCCAGUUCUUGUAUCAAAUCGUAAGC
rnacentral:lncRNA from 1 species